UAUAUAUCUGUUUGUUAGACAAAGAAUUCUGUGUGCAAGUGACAACUGUUGAUUUGAAUUUUUGUAAUUACAACUUCAAAUGACUUAUUUCAGGAUGGUGCUAUAAAUUGAAUUAAGCUUUUACUUGGUGUAUACCUAAUGUUGCUUGAGAGAUUGGAAUUUAACCCUUAAAAUUGUUGUU